rnacentral:rRNA from 1 species
GGAACCUGCGGUUGGAUCACCUCCUUA